rnacentral:rRNA from 1 species
UAAACGUGAGGUGUGAUGAGGAGUCGUAAGAUGGAAGGUGCAAAUACCACACUGCCGAGAAAAGCUUCUAAGCGUUAUAAAGAUAUUAGUGCCCGUACCCCAAACCGACACAGGUGGUCAGGAUGAGAAAUCUAAGGCGGACAGGCUAACUCUCGUUAAGGAACUCUGCAAAAUAGCCCCGUAACUUCGGGAGAAGGGGUGCCUUUUAUGGUGAGCGUACACGCGACGCAAAGCUAUGAGAGGCCGCAGUGAAGAGUCUCAGGCGACUGUUUAACAAAAACACAGGUCUAUGCUAAGCUGUAAGGCGACGUAUAUGGGCUGACACCUGCCCAGUGCCGGAAGGUUAAGAGGAGGAGUGAGAGCUCCGAAUUGAAGCCCCGGUGAACGGCGGCCGUAACUAUAACGGUCCUAAGGUAGCGAAAUUCCUUGUCGGGUAAGUUCCGACCUGCACGAAUGGUGUAACGAUCUGAGAGCUGUCUUGACGGGAGGCCUGGUGAAAUUGUAUUACCGGUGAAGAUACCGGUUACCUGCAGUAGGACGGAAAGACCCCAUGGAGCUUUACUGUAGCUUGGUAUUGGGUUUUGGCAUCGUAUGUAUAGGAUAGUUGGGAGACUAUGAUGCGU